ACUCCUACGGGAGGCAGCAGUGGGGAAUAUUGCACAAUGGGCGCAAGCCUGAUGCAGCCAUGCCGCGUGUGUGAAGAAGGCCUUCGGGUUGUAAAGCACUUUCAGUCGUGAGGAAGGUAGUGUAGUUAAUAGCUGCAUUAUUUGACGUUAGCGACAGAAGAAGCACCGGCUAACUCCGUGCCAGCAGCCGCGGUAAUACGGAGGGUGCGAGCGUUAAUCGGAAUUACUGGGCGUAAAGCGCAUGCAGGUGGUUUGUUAAGUCAGAUGUGAAAGCCCGGGGCUCAACCUCGGAAUAGCAUUUGAAACUGGCAGACUAGAGUACUGUAGAGGGGGGUAGAAUUUCAGGUGUAGCGGUGAAAUGCGUAGAGAUCUGAAGGAAUACCGGUGGCGAAGGCGGCCCCCUGGACAGAUACUGACACUCAGAUGCGAAAGCUGGGGAGCAAACAGGAUUAGAUACCCUGGUAGGAUAGCG
rnacentral:rRNA from 1 species